rnacentral:rRNA from 1 species
AUACGGAGGGUGCAAGCGUUAUUCGGAAUCACUGGGCGUAAAGGACACGUAGGCGGGAAGCCAAGUCUGAUGUGAAAUCCUACAGCUUAACUGUAGAACUGCAUUGGAAACUGGUUACCUAGAGUAUGGGAGGGGGAGAUGGAAUUAGUGGUGUAGGGGUAAAAUCCGUAGAUAUCACUAGGAAUACCUAAAGCGAAGGCGAUCUCCUGGGACAUUACUGACGCUAAGGUGUGAAAGCGUGGGGAGCAAACGGGAUUAGAAACCCUAGUAGUCC